UAGACCAUAAAAGGUUAGCAUUUCAGAAUGAUAUCAGAGGAGAGGAACUUAACUAGCUUUCAUGGAUAUAUUGGCUGUUACACGUUCUUAGAGAAUAUAAGCAAGACACAUGAAUGACAUCAGAUUAUUGGACAUGAUAAAUAGCGAGUGACAUUUAUAUAUUAAAUGGCAUCUCAGAUUCUUUUCAGCAAUAAUAUCAACAACAGAUGGGAACAACAUGGUAACAUAACUAAUCAAAUAGAGGCAAACGUAAUCAAGUAACUAGAAGAUUAUUUAAUUAAACAAGGUAAUGCUUUGAGUCUUGGGAGACAGCAGUCUGUUUACACAAAGAAGUUCAGGGCUGUCCCUGGGGUCCUGGAUUUUCUCAUCUGGGCGUGAAAAGUAGUAUCUCUUAGAUGAGAGGUAAUUAAACACAGAGCAAUGACAGUUGCCAUGGUUACGAGGGGGGGGGGGCAGUUUAGGGAUUCCUUCCCCCUCUUAAGGAGAGUUUCAAUAGGCUGUUUGUAAUCUCUGGUUAGUUUCUUUGUCAUUUUAACAAUUCAGGCACCGAGAGGCUUAUCUCGGCUGUUGCCAAAGGUGGCCAGUUUUACGAUCAACUGCCCAGGAACAGCACAAGACAAAAUUUGACAAUCGUUAAACAUCAUUGGUUUAACAGUUGCCAAUGUUGUGUCUGAACCUAACUGGAUUUAAAGUAUAUAAUUCAAGAGCAUUGUUGUGAACAAACAAUGUGGAUUUGUGAGUAGUAAAUAAAGGUCAGCUUUGCGCGCUCCCGCGAGUGUCCUUAUGUGUUUCACAAACAUUUAAGAAACUGAUAUGAUAUUAAACUUUCCUAUAUACAACUAAAUUAAUUAAAGUAUAAUGCAUUAUAAUCCUUGUGUGCUUCACAAACAUUAAGGAGCCUAUGAAAUUCAUCAUAUUAUCUAUAUACAAAUAAAUUAAUUAAAGUAUAGCGUAUUAUAAUCCUUACGCUUUAUAGACUUGAAAGCAGAUAGUCUUGCUUUCUUGGAGAUGAGUUGUUAUUUGUGUAAGAGUUGAAGUGUUUUCUGGGGUGGAGGUAUGUUGUUGAUUGUGCGUGACUUGUGUUGUUUUCUGGGGUUUAUCUUUUCACAUCGCCCGCCAUUGGGGCCACAGUACAUCAUAUGUCUAGUUCUACGAAACACCUUAAGCAUUAUUAGUCGCCUAAAAGUUUCAGAAUGUUUAAUGUGCACAGCGCUGUUUUCUGGAGUUUUUUAUUUAACCGCCCACCAUAGGGGCUACAGUACCACAACAACAAAUCUGAGCCGACGCAACAUCUCUAAACCAACAGAUUUAUCUGAGUUUCCGAGAGCUUGUCCGCAGCAUGUAUGCGCUAAUCAUAUAACAAUUGCGCUUUAACAGACCAAUUUAGAAUCAACCGUCAGAGCUGUAUGCAGUAGCUUGUCGCUGCAUCAUCCAGUCACCAGUCCCCAUCAAACUCAACCGCCCAUUCAUACACGGUUUCAAUAGUAAACUGCCAUAGGAUUGACAGAUACCGAUUAAAAAAUAUUAUAUUCUAACCAGAAACAUUUAAGAAUUACAAUCGCUGAUAGGCUAAGGUCCUCAAAUUCCGCUGGAUGCCCUGAGAAACUUACUCACUCUUGUGUUUUGCUGUCAACAUCUUAUUAUUAUUAUUAUUAUUAUUAUUAGCUAGUAAACAAAAUUAUUCAUAUGUGAUGCUUAAAAAACGAAUGUUUCAAAUGCAUGCUUGGUUAUUUUUCGUUCGCUUUCCUCCUGAGUAGUGACGUCACUGUUCGAAGGGGGUCCCACAGAUGCAUUAGGUCUACCGGAAUGAUCCCUGGAUUCCCCUGUUUGAAAAGAGAGUAAACCAAAUGCAUUUCCUUUUGUGUUUAAACAUGUAUUUAGGUUGAGCAAAACAGUCCACGCUCUUAACAACGAUGGCGAUGAGUUAAAAGAAAUAGCUUGUGACUUGUUGUAAACAAGAUCGAAAUAUUACGGGGUUGAUAUUAUAGCUUUGAUGGGUGCAAGAAUAGGAUACGUCCCCCACCUCAUAUAGACAUGUUUUCUAGAGAUCCAUCCUUAAUGUGUUGUGUAUAAUUUCUGCGAAGUUUCUCAUGGAGGGACCAUCAACCUGUUGAAAGCAGGUGCCUGUCGGCCUGCGCUGAAAGAGCGAAUCUUGAAUGUAGAAAACCUAACAUCCAUCUGAUCAACGUAAUAUCAGACACGGGGUAGAUCCGUUUUUUUAUCUUACGAGGAGCAAAUGGUAGCCUUUAGUUAGUGAGAGGGACGGAUUUAUGCGUGAGAACACAAAACAGAUGUCUUUCACAUGAUGUUUACAAAUGCGUGCACGAGUGUUUAUUUAUCGUUCUUGUUUUAAAACUCUCAGUAACAAUUUGAAACAAUAUUUCAAAUGCAUGCGCUUUUCGCCCGUUUGAAAAGAGAGUAAACCAAAUGCAUUACAUCUGUGUAUAAAUAUGUAUUUAGGUUACACAAACAGUCCACUCACUUAACAACGAUGGCGAUGAGUUAAAAGAAAUAGCCCGUGACUUAUUGUAAACGACAUAGUGUUAUUUUCCAGAACAAACAGCGCAUCACAUCCAUACCAUCGUUUGGCUCAAUUAGGACGCGAUAGGCUAGUGUUAUUUUAUGUUUGUUUUAAACUCUCAGUAACAAAAAAUAAUUUAGAUGUGUGUAGGAGAAUAGGAUGGGAUCACAGCUAGACCGAUGUCGGUUUGACAUCAUAGUGCGAACGCGGUAGUAUAUUCGCCGCCGUCUAACUCUGCACAGACAAUAAUGUCAGCCUGACUGUUAUUGCGGUAUAAAAACUGUGUAGUGUAGCGCUGAUGUUUUAUCUUUAUCGUCGUAAUAUAGAGUUCGUUGGUCUAUGUGAAACGGUGUGGUUAGAUAGAGUUAGUGAUAGAGAUGGAUUUAAGAGUGAGAACACAAAGCAGAUGAUUCUGAGGUGACGUUCAUCGAGAUGAAUAUUAUUAUGGGGGUAGAACCGCUUUUUAGCUUUGAUGGAUGCUAGAAUAAUAUGGAAUCACUGCUAUACAUCUGUCGGUUUGACACGACCGAGCAAAUGCGUAUUUGUACUCACAUUCAUCUAGCCUAUCUUUGUAUAAACCACAAUGUCAACCUGCCUGGUAUUGCAGGAUAAAACUGUGAAUGUGGAGCUCUGAUGUAUUAUCUUUAUCAUCAUAAUAUAGGUGUGGAUGUAAGCGUGAGAACAGGUUUUCUGGCGAGCCGUUUUGAACUUGCUGUGUGUGAUUCUGCAAACUUUCUCAUGGAUGGAGGGAGAAAUGACCCCAUCAACCUGUCAAAAGCAGACUUCUAUCAGCUUAAGAUGAAAGAGUAAACCUUGGGUCGCCGUGACCCUGGAUAGAAAUCCUGUAGGUGUAAUGCAUAGGCUACAUAUGAUAUCGCUACCUUCUUCUGUCGAAAGUCCGUUGAUCUAGUGUAACAUCAGAUUACACAAAAAUGUUUUUUAUUUAGUCCUACACAUCUGCUGUAGCACAUAGCGUGUCCUGAUGCCGAUUGUACACAUGUUACAGACAAUUGUUUAUGUGUCAGCGCAUUUGUGGGCCAUUUAAGAUCAAUAUACAAUGAGUUUAUUUAUGUUAAGGUCAAACUUCGUGUCAUCAAUUAAAAAAGAACUAUUAUUAUUAUAAUAUAGAUUGUAACACAUCUAGUAUGGUUUCUGGAGACAAAUGGUAAUUAUUUAAAUCUAUCCUUAUCUAAACAUUUGUCUGGGGACGGGUCUCAGUGACAAGCCCCCCCCCCUUCGGUGACAUGCCUCGACUAGCCUGCGGAUUGUGUGUAUUUUUUUCACAACGUUUAUAUAAAAAGGGAUACUAUAUGAUUGAGCAGAUCAGAUCUAUUUCUUAUAAAUGUUGAUAGAUAAAUUCUAAUUCAAUGAAUUCCCUUUUCCCCUUCAGAGAAGUCUUGAUGCAAAUGGGGAGGGUUUGAGGUAAUAAAAGGUCAUAAAUAAGACAUGUGUGAAAAUAGGGGUUAAAGACAUUCCAUGCAAGGUUUCACAUUUUAGUCGGAACCUCUGGUGCAUUUUUGCUGUUGCUGCUGUUUCACUUCAGAUCCUAUCUAAGAUGGCUCUUGCUGCUGGUAUGUUAAACCCCUCAAAUGAAUUAUAAUGGUGUAUUACUCCUGUUGGACGGUUUAUCUGAUCUUCUUUUUAAUAUAAAAAAAGUUUUUUUUCAAACAGCUCUGAACUGCGUGUAAGAUGCGCCUGAUAAGGCAUUUUUUAGGUAAAAAAAAAAAAAGGUUUCAUAUUUAUGCAAUAUUGACUAGUAGGCCUAAUAUGUAUUAAUAAAAACUCUGAGAAUGUAACCUCACAUAAGCUGUUUAUUGUAUUACAGAAGAACAUCAUUUAUUUGACGGAGAACGACCAGCGCAUGAUGCCAACGACCUGCACCUCGCCAGCCACCUCCUCUGCCUGCCACACCUGCCAGCAAUCAGCCUCAUCUCUGACAGUACUUCUACCCCGGUUCUCCAGUCAACCCCUGCUUGAUCGUCAUUGCUCCUAACCUGGUUCACUCAGCUCAUCCUCUGUCCAGUUGGUUGGGCUCGCUCACCUGCCCUCUUCCUUCAGGCUUCCCCCACGGCGUCCUUCCAUGCCUCCUCUCUUCCUCGGCCCCCAGUGUUCCCCGGUUCUCUGGUCUCAGCCUCCUUGGUUCCCUGUGCCUGCAUCUCCCCGGCAUCACUUCUCCCUCGACCCCUUUUUUUCCCCAAUAAAACCUGCCAAUCUGA